GCCCCCGUAGCUCAGUGGUCGGAGUGCGGCCAGCGUUGAUUGUUUCACUAAAACUAUCUCAGGGUUUGAGAUUAGCAAGUUUUCCAGCGAGGUCCACAGCCCACCUCCUGGAAGGCUUCCUCCCACAACACUACAAACUCACCAUACGGCUCUCCGUCCUGCUCCUGAAGGUUUUGCAGGCCGGAGGGUCAUAUGGUGAGUUUGUAGUGCAGUGGAAGGAAGCCUUCUAGAAGGUGCAAAAUAUCAGCGUACCCGAGGUCAGCGGUUCGAAUCCGCUCGGGGGCA